UGAGAUGGGCCCGCGGCGCAUUAGCUAGUUGGAGAGGUAACGGCUCACCAAGGCGACGAUGCGUAGCCGACCUGAGAGGGUGAUCGGCCACAUUGGAACUGAGACACGGUCCAGACUCCUACGGGAGGCAGCAGUGGGGAAUAUUGCACAAUGGGGGAAACCCUGAUGCAGCAACGCCGCGUGAAUGAUGAAGGCCUUCGGGUCGUAAAGUUCUUUGAUUGGGGACGAUAAUGACGGUACCCAAAAAACAAGCCACGGCUAACUACGUGCCAGCAGCCGCGGUAAUACGUAGGUGGCGAGCGUUGUCCGGAUUUACUGGGCGUAAAGGAUGCGUAGGUGGAAAUUUAAGUGGGAUGUGAAAUCCCCGGGCUCAACCCGGGAACUGCAUUCCAAACUGGGUUUCUAGAGUGCAGGAGAGGAAAGCGGAAUUCCUAGUGUAGCGGUGAAAUGCGUAGAUAUUAGGAAGAACACCGGUGGCGAAGGCGGCUUUCUGGACUGUAACUGACACUGAGGCAUGAAAGCGUGGGGAGCAAACAGGAUUAGAUACCCUGGUAGUCCACGCCGUAAACGAUGGGUACUAGGUGUAGGGGGUAUCAACUCCCCCUGUGCCGUCGUUAACACACUAA
rnacentral:rRNA from 1 species